rnacentral:rRNA from 1 species
UACGUAGGGUGCAAGCGUUGUCCGGAAUUAUUGGGCGUAAAGAGCUCGUAGGCGGUUUGUCGCGUCUGCUGUGAAAACCCGAGGCUCAACCUCGGGCCUGCAGUGGGUACGGGCAGACUAGAGUGCGGUAGGGGAGUCUGGAAUUCCUGGUGUAGCGGUGAAAUGCGCAGAUAUCAGGAGGAACACCGGUGGCGAAGGCGAGUCUCUGGACAUUUCCUGACGCUGAGGCACGAAAGCCAGGGGAGCAAACGGG